AUGGUUCUAAAUGCUGCCAAUGGCCGGGAAGUGGUGGGGGGUGAGUUCUUGCAGUGGAUGUAUCAAGGGUCCAGAUUCACCGUCUACGUGAUUGUGUGCUACUGCAGGCAAUCCAAAUCUCGCAAUAUACCAAUUUUCUGUGUUAAUGACGAAAAACUACAAAUUUUAAAUUUGAGCAGGGCUGUCAAAAGAUUGCAAGGCUGGAGUGGCUUAAGGAAAGUUAUUUAA